AAUCUGAGUAGCAUGGGCCAGGCUCUGGUGUAGAUGUACCUGAAUAAUGUCACAUCAUGAUUUUGUGUUAAUCCAUAUACAACUUCAAAGAUGCAACUUUAUACCACAUGUGCUGGGGUAGGGGAAGAAGAUGAGAAGGAUGUUCGGUUAUUUCUCUCCUCCUAAACUGACUUGCAGUUUUAGUUUUUGUCUGCUUCAAAGUUUGAGAUCAAAAUGUGAGCUCUCACCUCUUCCUGACACUGUCCCUUGGCUCCACCUUCAUGGACUCUGAAGCCCCGGAACUGUGUAAUUUUGCAUCUUGUUCAUCACCAAGUCUGCUGAUCUUGUCCCUCACCUUGCUGGUCCCCUUCUUCCCAAAUAAUCUCUCUUCUGUUUCUGUAUGUAAUCCACACAUCUGUAGUGGGUAGCCAUUCCAGCUUUGGUCUGGAAGU